rnacentral:lncRNA from 1 species
AGAGAGUGAAAGAGAGCUGUAUCUCAUAGUUGAAAUCAAGACUGUUCUCAGGGCAGGUCUUCCCGUUUUGACUAGCAGAAGUUACUUUAUUAAUUAAGCAGCAGGUUACGAGAAUUAAAGCAGGUUAGGAUAAUUAGGUAAAGGUUAGGGAAAGCUAAAAUGCUAACAAUGUCCCCGACGCGACUCGAACAUAUCUACAACCAGGCCUGCCCUGACAACAGACUUGAUUUCUACUAAUGCGAUGAUCGGCUGUCUGCGAGGGAAGACUCAUGAGAAAAUAAGCUUUAUGUUCUACUCAAGCUAUUAUAUUUUAAAUUUUUGGGAAAAGUCGCCUAAAUAUUUUUGAGCGGCUGCAAGGUAUGUACUAAUUCCAUAUACUAUAUAUUUCUAUAUACCUACUGCAGGUUUUCUUAACUAAGCUACUAAUUAGCUAGCUAACUUUAGCUUGUUUGGAUUGGGUUAGCUAACAGUAGCCAGGUUGACAUGUCGGUCUGUUGCGUUGAUCUUUCUUGCUGGUAAAAUAAUCAGUGAUGUUGUAGCUAUACAGCAGCAAAUCAUUUUAGUAUUAACAACGUGCAGAAAUCCGUAUGUGAGUUUAUUUUGAUAGGCUACUUAACCGGUGGGUGCAUGACAUGAGUGGCAUGGUGCUAACGCUAUGGUAUUAGUGGCAAAGUGGUCAUAGGCUUCACCGGACAAAAAUACUGUUUGUCUAGGGAGGGAGCGAGAGUUUAGCUAUGUUGAAUGCACCUUUAGUUUGUCAGCAGGCAUGGACUGGCAUUUUGCCUUGGGAUGUAUACUUUUGGGGUGAUUCUGUAGUUGGAAUGAGAGGUGUCUCAGAUGGGGAAUGGUGCUUGCUAACGUUAGCUAUAGCUCAGAGAUGACGCACUCCUUUGUACACCUUUCUCUAAGUCUAAAUAUCUCUGGUUAGCGUUAGCUCUAUUCAGUUUCGGGGUGCGUGUGAUUUAGCAAAAGUGUAGUGGAAUUUUCUCCCUGCUUUUGUUAUCCUUAGUCCAUUAAAUUUAUUAAUUCAGCAACAGCAGGCACAGACUGAUAUUUUGCCCUGCAGGAUAUUAAAGUUAUCUUUUAUUUUCAUUUUCUUCACAUUGUGUGGUUAGCUUGCUAGCAUUAUUCAGGGCGAUGGUCGUGGCAUUUUCCCGCGUGAGUUGAAUUUUCCUUGUGCUUUUGCUAAUCUUUCAGAAAUUAUCCUUAUCCAACCAUUAAUUAGGCAACAUUAAAUUAAUGAUAUCUGAAACAUCAGGCACAGACUGAUAUUUUAUUUAGCCUUGUAGUCUAUACAUUUUGGGGGGGGGGAUUGUGUGGUUGGCAUGAGUUGCAUGGUAGCAUAUAGCUUGAUAGCUCUUUUGGUAUGUGCAUGCAAUUUGGUGGCUGGGGUCGUGUAAUUUUCAUAUUGCAGGCUGGCUGGUAGCUGGAAGUAGCUUUAUUGGGAAUGUACAGGUGUAAAUCCUGCCAUUUCUGUUUCCUAAAUAUUAAAGCAUUCAUUACUCAUGCAAAAAAAACAUAGAAAUGUGGCGAACUACAGUUUUGCUUGUGGGGUAGAGUGCCCUUGCGCCAAAGCAUCACUACUUGUUACACUUGGGCAACUCAUUCGUUUGUGGACACCGAGGUUCGAGAGCAAGCACUCCUACUUCAAGGAGUGUGCCAGAAAACUUGUCUGAGAAGCACCGGUUACUCCAAUCUUACUUAUGCAGCGGCCAAUUGUUUCCACAUAGCAUUGAAGUUGUUGGUGUCAUGAAUUAAUUUGAGGAGCAAUUAUAUAACAACGUCAUUCAGGGAGCUGGACAGUCAAAAGGGUUCACAAAGCAAAGCAUUGCAGAGGUGUCUAAAAUGGUAUACAAAGUAACAACAUACACUGAAGGCCUUGUUGUAAUGGGAGAAAAUGAUGACGGAUACACAUUUGGAAAGAUCUCACUGAUUCUGGUCACAGAAUCACAGGUCUAUUUAAUCGUUGGCGUGUAUCACUCUGUGUCACUGGUUGAUCUCAGGGUUCAUUUUAUACCAGAUUCUCUGAUUAAUUAUGUGUGUGUUAAUGCAGAUAGUCUGAGUGAUUAUUACCCAUUACCAGUUUAUAAAGUGUUAGGUUUCUCUGUUGUUUCUUUGCAUCACUCAGUGAGUUCUCCUUAAACCAGUGUAGGCAUAGAGGGUCUUCAAGAUGCAAUAAACACCAAAUGCCCGAGUUGGAGACCGAGACGGUGAGAUCUUUGUCAGAGCAUCUGAGGGCAAAUGUUGGAGUGGAGAAUAUUAAAGACCUUGAAUAUGUUCAGCCCGGAGGACAUAAAAGACCAUUUGACGCCAAUAUAGUGCCGGGAAUUGCUUCAGUCCUUCAACCAAAGAGGUGUGAUCUUGAUUGAUAAAUGUAACAUAUUUACGUCAUUGUUAUGAAAAAAGAUGCUAUCAGGAACCUAAAAUGGUUAUUUGGCUGUCCCCAUAUGAGAACCCUUUGAAGAUCCCUUUUUGAUUCCAGAUACAUGUAUAACCGUUUUGGUUCCAGGUAGAACUCUUCUGGGUUCCAUGUAGAACCCCUUCCAUAGAGGGUUCUACAUGGAACCCAAAAGGGUUCUACCUGGAACCAAAAAGGGUUCUCCUAUGGGGACAGCCAAAGAACCCUUUCGGGAACCCUUUUCUUUAAGAGUGUACGUACACACAAGUUUAAAAAGGUUCUGUAAAUAGUUCAUUUGUUUGCCCUCAAAAUAAAUGGUUUAUGCUAUGAGGGAGCGAGGCAUAUGCAAUAAAGGCGACAGAAAUUACAAAAAGUACAAAAAUAUACAAAUGUUUCUGUAAAUUGUUUGUCCUCUUGUGCAGCACAUAGCCUAACAGAGUUUUUUCUUAGAAUUUUUUAAAAGAAAAUUAAGAAUGGAUAGGAUCUUUAACAAUGGAUAGGACACUUGUCCUCCUCCAAGCGUCAGUGACCUCCAGGAACAGUGGCCUUUCCUUAUCACCAAGUUAUGGCUCUGCGACCACUUCAAUACCCUCACUGGCAUCGUGAUUGACAGUUGCCUGACUCAAGCUCUCCUGAACAAGGGUAAGAGAAUUGUCAACUUUUUUAAAAGCUAAAAGACCAAGCUGAGGAGAGAGAUCCAGUGCCUGCUGAAUGAAAUCGACAUCAGAGGCAAUGACGAUCACUGCUGCCAUUCUUUUGUUGAUGACCCACUUCAAAGAGAAGGACGAAUCUCUGUUCCUCUUGGAAGAUGUAAGGAAUAGUGUUUUUAUACUUAUAAAGUUUAUAUGAUUAAUGGUUUUAUUAUACUAUUACACAUCAUUUGAAUAUUUUUAAUAUGUAGGUUUUGUGAUUUUAGGUCAUUGUAACUCAGGUUGAUGUCGAGGCGCAAAUUCCUUUGCCAUACACACCAAGGCUGAUCAUGCUUGGAAAUACUCUAUUAUAUUCCUCAAAAUGGAUGGUGUCGAUCGAGGGGAGAGUGCUCUGUGUUUUGGACAGUGAGUCCAACUUUGCUGCUGCCCUUUCUGUGCUCUUCAGCACGUUCAAUGUUUUUAACAUAGAAUACCAGGAGUUGGCCUCUGCAACCUUGGGGCUGAUACAGAGGUUCCUGGUUUGAGUAAACCCUGAAGGAACCAAAUGCACAGCGAAAGCAAGAGUGAGCCGCAAGACCGUAAAGGUCAUUCAGAGGAAGCCAUUGCCAAUUAACCCACAUGUUAGACACUUUCUCGCAGACCUGAAGGAGUUCGAGUGUAAAAACAGACACACCUGAUGAACACAAACUUUGUCAGUUGUCAUCUGCCUUUUUACCCAGCGAGUAAUAGUAAUUGUAAUAGUAGUAGUGAUAGUAAUAGUAAUAGUAGUAGUCAUAGUAGUAGUGAUAGUAAUAGUAGUAGUAAUAGUAGUAGUGAUAGUAAUAGUCAUAGUAGUAGUAAUAGUAGUAGUGAUAGUAAUAGUAGUAGUAAUAGUAGUAGUAAUAGUGAUAGUAAUAGUCAUAGUAGUAGUAAUAGUAGUAGUCAUAGUAGUAGUGAUAGUAAUAGUAGUAGUCAUAGUAAUAGUAGUAGUGAUAGUAAUAUUGAUAGUAGUAGUGAUAGUCAUAGUAAUAGUAGUAGUGAUAGUAAUAGUAGUAGUCAUAGUAAUAGUAGUAGUGAUAGUAGUAGUGAUAGUAAUAGUAGUAGUGAUAGUAGUAGUCAUGGUAAUAGUAGUAGUAAUAGUAGUGGUUAUAGUAGUAGUCAUGGUAAUAGUAGUAGUCAUAGUAAUAGUAGUAGUGAUAGUAAUAGUAGUAGUCAUAGUGAUAGUAAUAGUGAUAGUAGUAGUGAUAGUAGUAGUAGUAGUAAUAGUAGUAGUAGUAGUGAUAAUAAUAGUAGUAGUCAUGGUAAUAGUAGUAGUAAUAGUGAUAGUGAUAGUAGUAGUCAUGGUAAUAGUAGUAGUAAUAGGGAUAGUAGUAGUAAUAGGGAUAGUAGUAGUAAUAGUAGUAGUGAUAGUAAUAGUAGUAGUGAUAAUAGUAGUCAUGGUAAUAGUAGUAGUGAUUGUAAUAGUAGUAGUGAUAGUAGUAGUAGCAGUAGUUGUAGUAGUCGUAGUGAUAGUAAUAGUAGUGAUAGUAGUAGUAAUAGUAGUAGUCAUAGUAGUAGUCGUCAUAGUAGUAGUGAUAGUAGUAGUAAUAGUAGUCAUAGUAAUAGUAGUAGUGAUAGUAGUAGUCAUAGUAACGGUAAUAGUAGUAGUAAUAGUAGUCAUAGUAUUAGUCAUAGUAAUAGCAAUCUCUAUCUUUCUAUGUCCAUGUUUGUCCUAGUUGACGUAUCAGAGCUAAGGAGGAUCAGUUUCAAAGAUUGGGGUGAUAAUCUGCACGCCACCGAGAUUUAUUCGAGACUUAUUUGCGUCUCUCAUUUUCUCAGAAAUCCUUCCAUGUGGCUUGGGUCAGCAAAUGAUCUGCUUGCGCCAUCCCGGAGCCUGUGUUGGCUUGUGGUAGCGUGCUUCUCUGGCUCCAGUCUAGCCCUGCUCGCUCCUCUCUAUCCAUCCUUCUCUCUCAGCCCCUUUCUCUCUCGAUCUCUCUCUUGUUUCUCUCUCAAAGACAGGCAGGCAAGCAGUUAUUGUUAUAGUUUUUUGUAAAAAAUGUUCCCUGUUCAACUGUUCUUUUCCUAUUUUUCAUUGAUCUGUUUAGAUUUUAUUUUUUUCUUACAUAAUCCUGUAUUUUCAAGAAUUACCUUGUUACGUUCCCCAGUUUCUGUGUUGUAGUUUGUGUUUCAAGUAAUGGCUUCCUGAAGUUCUCCAAGCAGCUGAUUGGUCGGCCCCAUUGCUGAUUGGAGAGCUGACCCGCCCCCUCGUCAGGACGCAGCUGUCUCCAAUUAACAACCCCACCUAAAGCUAUAUAAGCCAGUGUGCUGUUGCUCAGAGGAGGAGACACACAGAUGAUGACAGAGAGAUAUUUGCUGGGAGACACAGAUAAUGGCUGAGAGUUAG